rnacentral:lncRNA from 1 species
GCAAAUGUGGAUCUUUGGAAGACAUUCCACUAAAUUGGCCCACCAUUUGCAACAUUUGGAACAUAACUGACUUCAAUUCAAACUACAGUGCCUCAAUUUUGGGUUUCUGUCAUCAGCAACAAUGACUGAAUUUCGAGCGAUGUGAAUAGCUCCUCAAUUUUGAUUUUGUUGUAGAGGAUCCAUUAUCACCUGAAUAAUAAUGAAAAUUACUAAAAAUAAAAAUGAAAUGAAUUUAAACCAAAUUGCAAAAUUUCAAUUUCACAAAUAAUUACUAAAACACAAUCCUCAACAAUGGCGCUAAAAACUUGUCGCGGAGUGUGCAUAUUAAUAAUAAUCUAUGCGAAUAAUGUGCAAGUGUACACAAUCAUAACAAGUAAUAAAGUAGUGAGUAGAGUAUCAUCUCCAAAGGGACAUUGUGUGCAACCAAAAAUUGUGAAAUUUAAUUAUCAAUUUAGCAAACAUUAAAAAUAUGGUUAAGGAAUGUGCUAAUAAACUAAACUUAAUUUAACCUAGAUGAAUGCACAAUGUAACAACACAAAAUAAUAAGCAAAUAACAAGCACUAAACACAAUGGCAUGAAGGACUAGAAUAGUUAAUCCCCUUUAACCCAUAUUCAUUAAAACAAUGAUAAAGAUUGAUAUCGGUUGACCGUGGCAUAAUUGGUGAUUUACUAACCCCGAUUUUACUAGUGCUUGGAUUCUUUGAAGUCCUAAGCUUAACCUCUUAGUCUUUUCGCAUAUGUUUAUGUCGAGUCUAACUUCAAGAUUACAUUUUCAAGCAUCGUUCUUAAGAAUUAAGUGAGAUAACAGUGAUAUGUCUAUAUAAAAACAAAUUUAAUCACAUUAAUCCUAGGGUUAUGCAAGGUAAUAAAUAUUCAUUGAUACCAUUACAUUUAAUUAACACAUGAUUAAACAAGCACCAAUCAGGUAUUGUGUCAAUUAAUAACCAUCUUCUCAGAUCGAUUUACUAAUUUAAUUACUUACCAACAUCAUGUAUGCAUCAGGAAGUAUGAUUGUGAUAGUACGUGACUUAGUACAACUACCAAAUGCACGGAACAUCUCUACCAAAACUUUAUUGAAUAUAAACUAAAGUUGCAUAACCAUUCUAGCAUCAACAAGAUUAAGUCAUAGUAAUUAAAGAGAGAACACAAAAACAAUAAGCAAUCAUGUUUUCAACGGAAGAACGAAGUAACAAAAGUAUUGAAAAUAACUCUAUAUUUUAGAAUUAUCACAAUCAUCGAACAAAAUUUGAGUUUUAUUGUUUACUGUUCAUUUGAAUAAGACUAAAAAGAUUAAAAAAUAUAUAUUACUAUUUAUAUAUUUUGAUAAUAAAAUUUAAAUAUACAUUUAAAUUAUUAAAUAUAAAAUCAAUGAGGCUCAAAUUCAUGAAAUUUCUUCGUACUUGGUAGUUUGGGUGAAGUGAAUAAAAUAUUUGCGUAGAACUACUAAUAUUUUAGCUUCAGAAACCAAUGAUACAUUCACAAGAAAUCAGUAGUCAUAGACGAUGGAACUUUCAUAGUUCAUACCAACAUAGUUUAGGUUUUUUUUUUAUUUUAAUCCAAAUUCAACAAUAAAUAAUUUUCCAUUAACACAAACAAAAUUGAGUUUAAUUAGCUAUCCAUAUUCUAAAAUUCAUUUCAUUUGUCAAAGACCGACUUUGCUGACUGACAACUAUUUGACUUUCAUUUCAUGAUCAAUUUUCUAUAUAUAUUCACUAUUACCAACGGAUUGCCCAAUCUCAAAAUCUAUCUUUCCAUUUACUCCUAAAAAAAGCAAUUUAAUGGAGUUUCUUCAGAAAUCAAUUCCCGGUACCUUGAGGGGAUACUGGAGAAGGCGGCGAUACCAAAGACUCCACGGCGGCGAAGUGAUCAAGAAAAAG